rnacentral:tmRNA from 1 species
UUGUCCGCUUCACUGAAUCCUUGUGGUCAGUGAACCCGACUGAAGCGCACGCACACAAGUCCGUAUAAAGCCAAGCCUCGGGGCUUUGUACUAAACUUAGAGGAUCGCGAUUUGUACCCUGUUCGUCGGGUCACAAAGAGUUAAAAUAGUAGACGAUAUCUAAGCAUGUAGUAUUCUCGGGCGUAGUGCUGGCGGACGCGGGUUCAACUCCCGCCAUCUCCACCA